GCACCCAAUAUAUGGAUUUAAGAAGAGAUCAAGGAGGAGAGACGACUUUCUAUUUUUCUAUGUCCUCACGCACACAGCAGUCAUACCGCCGAAGGGGUGGACAAAGUUGGUUUGAUUUUGGUAUCUAUGUACCCGAUAGCUGGGCAUCAAGAAUCUGGAGAAUCCAUCACCUAGCUUAGCCACUGUUGUCUAAAAAGCGCCAACAUAGAGCUGCUUUGAUGAUACUGCCCGUACUGAUCGAUAACCCAGCGCCUAGGGGAGCCGGAGCACGCCAAGCGUCAAUUGGCAGACACGGCC